AUCGAACGCUGGCGGCAGGCCUAACACAUGCAAGUCGAACGAGUGGCGGACGGGUGAGUAAUGUCUGGGAAACUGCCCGACGGAGGGGGAUAACUACUGGAAACGGUAGCUAAUACCGCAUACCAUCGGAUGUGCCGAGAUGGGAUUAGCUAGUAGGGGGGGUAACGGCUCACCUAGGCGACGAUCCCUAGCUGGUCUGCGAGGAUGACCAGCCACACUGGAACUGAGACACGGUCCAGACUCCUACGGGAGGCAGCAGUAGGGAAUAUUGCGCAAUGGGCGAAAGCCUGAUGCAGCCAUGCCGCGUGUGUGAAGAAGGCCUUCGGGUUGUAAAGUUCUUUCGGCGAGGAGGCGUUACUCGCAGAAGAAGCACCGGCUAACUCCGUGCCAGCAGCCGCGGUAAUUC
rnacentral:rRNA from 1 species